CUACUAAUAAUAUAAUAAUAAUAAUAAUAAUAAUAAUAAUAAUGAAUAGUAGUAAUAAUUAUUGUCGUCAUUAUCAUUAUCGUUAUCAUUAUCAUCAUCGUCAUCAUCAUUGUCAUUAUUAUCACAGAGAUAUUCGUUUAAAGUGAAAGGGGUUAGUUCUGACGAAGAGAACAAAAUAUAAGCGAUGUCUCUUGUGAUCAGAGAAAAGAAGCACGAUAAGAUUAGAAUAUUAUUAUUUCGAAGGCGAAUGAAUCAAAUCCUUUUUAAAAAAAAGUUUAUUUUUUUUUUUUUUUUUUAAUCGAAAUGUUAAAUACGAACCAACAAAUUAAUAUACUUUUACUUCGAUCAUAGUUCAUAAUCGUAAAACGUAUCCAGGCUCGUAAAAAUAUCACCGAAAUUUUGUGAGUGACUAUUUUUUAUUUGCUCUCUUUCUCUCUCUCUUUCUCUCUCUCUCUCGUUCUAUUUUUCUUCGUCCUUCUCUUCUUCUUUUUCUUUGGCUUUUUUUUUUUUUUUACAACUUAGAAAGCUCAGCAGAGAUUGUUGCGGCCGAAUAGAACGAACAUGGCUAGGAUUCCUCAAAGACAAAGACAAAGACAUUUCGACUUUGUUAACUUUGUCCGAGCAACAACUUUUAAUGGAUUUACGCUGAGACGAUUUCCUUUUGAGCUUAUCGAUUAGACAAAAGGAAAGAGAAAGAGAGAAAGAGAGAGAGAGAGAGAGAGAGAGAAGUAAUAGAGAUCAUAAUCGAUAAUCCAAAAAAAAAAAAAAGAAAUUCAAAACCCGUGUCUUCCCAAAAGAUACAGAAUUUCGAUAAUGGAGAAUGCAAUAAUAAGAAAAGAUUCGUUCACUAUUUUCUAAUAAGAUAGAAGAAAAUUUUUAGAUCCUCUUUGACAUAUUAAAUCGGAAAAAAUAUCUUAUAAAAUUCUUUGUGAUUUAACAUUAUUUGCUUUUAAUCGAAUAAAAGAACUUCAAUGAGAUCUUUUGCGCUCGUUGGUAUACGUUUUAUACUAGUCGAAGUAAAAGACGGCAAAUGAAAUGAAAAGAAAACGAAAAGGGAGAAAAAAAUACAAGGGGGAAGAAGAGAGAGAGAGAGAGAGAGAGAGAGAGAGAGAGAGAAAGAAGAGAGAAAAAAAAAGAGAGAACAAAGAGAAAGAAAAAGGAAAAGGAAGGAAGAGAGGAGAGAAGAUAACUGAACGAGGAUCAACAACAAAAUGCAUCGAGGACAUUUAAAGUCGAUCGACGUGACGUCGUGGGGGCGCGGUGAACGUGUCCAACUUCACCGCACGGUAAAAGCUUUUUCUCUUUCUCUACUGACAAAUAACACAGGACGUAAGAGAGAGAGAGAGAGAGAGAGAUAGAUAGAGAGAGAGAGGGAGAGACUUAGAGAGAAAAAGAGAAAGAGGGAUAUAACAAGAGAAUGUGUGUGUGUGUGUGUGUGUGUGAGAGAGAGAGAGAGAGAGAAAGAAUGUAAGCGAGCAAGAGAGAAAGAAAGAGAGGAGAUGCCAUAUAACACACAAGUACACAAUAACUUUCCCUUCCUCCAAUUGGUCGUUAAAACGGUUGCUCGAGCUACUUCGAGCAUAUUGAUCCUUUGUUACACGAACACCGGCACGUUCCCUCCAUCGAGAACUUUGACUCUCUUCUACUACUUUCACGUAUUAGCCGAGCGAGUUUACCGAGCGAAAGAAUCAUUCGUGUUACGGUCUCUCUGUUAGAGCGGGUUAGAGAGGUGGGGUACAGGAGAAGGAGGUGGAGGAGGUGGUGCUACUAGAGGUGGGUGUUACUCUGAAGGGAUCCGCAGCUUGAAAACGAUAUGCAUUUCGUCGAGCGAUCGUGAUCGGAUUACGUGAAUAGGGGUUAAAGCUCUUUUAUGUUUUUCUUUCUUCUUCUUCUUUUUUCUACUUUUUUUUUUCUUUUUUGUCACUUUUUUUCUCUCCCUUUUUUUCUCUCUCCUUUUUUUUUUUUUUUUUUUUUUUACUGUCCGUCCAUCGAACGAGACACGUCUAACUAUUUUACAACACAUAUGUAAUAUGUGUUAUGCGACAAAUCGCUAUAGAAUAUUAUCGCUUUUACGCAUAAGAUUAUCGUAAACUUUUAUUUUCAAUCGUUUUGAGAAAUCUGAAAAAAAAAAAGAAAUGUUCGGUAUCUCGAUUGAACCAUGCGAUCGAAUAAAUUAAUUUUCGAUUAUUUGUGAUUUUAUAUUUUUAAUAAUUUUUCAAAGUAGAUCUAAAGAUACAAGAUCUUAAUAAUAAUCUCUUUCUCUUUCUUUCUCUCUUUCUCUCUCUCUCUCUCUCUCUCUCUCUCUUUUAGUUUUAAUCAUAUCGUUGCUAUUGUUAAUUAAUUCGAAGUUCGAAUGUGAAUUUAGAUAUAUCAUUACCUAGGCUGUUGUAUUUACUUUGUUCCAUUUUUUUUCGCAAGUCUCUCUAGUUCUGUUUUUUUUUUUAGUGUAAUUAAGACAUCAAUUUUAUUUUUUUUUUUCUAGUAUUAAGAUUAAGUUCGAAAAUUACGGAUGUACGUUUUUAUUUUACAUUUUACUUUGUUUAUCGUUCGUUUCAAUCGUAUCGCUUUAAACUCGAUCGAAUUUAAUACGUAAAUUAUCAAUCAAUCAAUCAAUCAAUCAAUCAGUUUGGGAAAAGGUUAUUUCAUUUUUAUUAUAUUCACGAUGGAACGCGUCGAUGUCACGCGUUAUCUUAUUUGCGCUCGAACUUGUUACUACGAUAUAAAUUAAGUUUUUUUUUUGUUUUUUUUUUUGUUUAAAUAAUACUCGUGAGAAAAUAUCGACGAACAAAUGAAAGAAAGAAAUUAAAAUUGAAUUAUUUGAUUACGGCUGGUCCGUGAAAAAGAAUCGUUUCUUUUUCUUUUUCUUUUUCUUUUUCUUUUCAAUCCGAUAAUUUUCGACGUGUCUUCAAACAUUUAUCAAUGAAUUGAAAUUUUUAAGAAUUUCUAAAAUUAUUUCAACAAGUUCGAGCGUAAAUACGAUGAACGGUGCGCAUCAAUAUUAUAAAUGUUAAUUCAUGUAAAAAGAAAAAAAAAGAAAAAAAGAAAAAAAAUAAAAAAAAAAAGAAAAAAAAAAGAAAGAAAAGAAAAAAUAAAAGGAAAAAGAAGACGGAGUUUCCAUGAAACUCCAUGUAAAGUUAAUCGCAUUCUUACAGAUUAGAUCAGAUCGCUCGAAUGUUAUCGAUGUAAUUAAGUCGAUGAAUUAUAAUCGAUAGAUAGAUCAUUCGACGGAAAGGUAUCAUUGUUCGAAUUAAGAUAUACAUUUGUUUUGCUAUACGAAUUAUUGUUUACCGCGCGACAUCGCUUACAUACAUAACUUUGUCAACUAAUGAUCAAAGUGAUAUCGUUUAUUAAUUAUUAAUUAUGAUUUAUAAAGCUUAAGUUAAUUAGCGAGUGUACAAUUUCACGAAAUAUUAUUAAACGUGAAUACAUUGGAAGCAGGUUUAACAAGAUACGUUAACAAAAAUGUUUUCCUUUUAUUAAACGUUAAAAAUACUAUUAGUGAAUCUUAUUCAGUCCUUUUUUUUUUUCUUCUCUUUUUUCUUCCUUUAAAUUAUUCCUUCAUUUUAAUUUAUUUUAAUUGAUUUUAAUUUUCUUUUUCUUUUUCUCGUCUUUUUUUUCUUUUUCUUUUUUUUUUUAAGUUUUCCAUUAUAUUUUAAUUUAAGAACUUGUUAAACCUGACUACCGAGAAUAAAUACAUCGUUCUAUUAACUUGAGUUACAUUCCUCCCCCACCUGAUUCGAUAUUCUCUAUAAAACGAUGAUUUUUGUCCCAUUAGAAGAAUAUACGGAUCACGUGACAAGGAGAUGAUGAUAAUAUACAUGAAUUUACUUUACAGAGAAUAGUAUAUUUUGCGCUAGAUUAUAUUAUAUAUAUAUAUAUAUAUAUAGGAAGAAUUAUAAUUCGUUAUAAUUUAUGAAAGAGAAAAAAGAAGAAGGCACAUAUAAUUUAUGAAAGAGAGGAAAAAGGAAAAUGAAAGGAAAUAAAAAAAAAAAAAGAAGAGGAAAAGAAAAAGAAAAAGAAGAAAUAACAUAUAAUAAUGAUCAUCGCGCUGUGUCUUAUUUUUAUUAUCGUUAUAAAACAUACACACGAUCUGAAUGACUUGUUAAUGACAUUAUAAGUAUAAAUAAGUUGGAUAUUAUUAUAAAAACAACAAAAAAAGAAAAAAAGGGAAAUUAAGAUAAGAAAAGUAUCAUAGGUUCGUGCAGGCACACCAUGAUAAACUGCGAUGAACUUUUUAUGUAUCGAAGUAUCACAUUUCUUAUUGGAUUUAUUUGAUUUCAUUUUGCAAUAAAUACAACAAUUACACGUC